GCCACCCUGGGAUGUGCGUGAUCGCUGGUUACUUUCUUGAGCCAAUGAUCCCACUCAGGGUUCUGCCUCAGCGCUUGCGGUGUGCAUGCCCGAAUCUAUCGGGGAGCCUGAAGCAAGCCAGGCGGCGCCCGCCAUGCAUAGCAUGGUUCAAAAAGGCCUGUGACACGGCGUUCUGGGGGCCUU
rfam:Desulfovibrio gigas DSM 1382 = ATCC 19364 genome.